GGUGUCUUUUAUACAGGUAACGAGCUGAUAUUAGGAGCACUCACUUAAUGGGAGUGCUCCUAAUAUCAGCUUGUUACCUGUAUAAAAGACACC
rnacentral:miRNA from 1 species